rnacentral:rRNA from 1 species
GAUGAACGCUGGCGGCGUGCCUAAUACAUGCAAGUCGAGCGAACAGAUAAGGAGCUUGCUCCUUUGACGUUAGCGGCGGACGGGUGAGUAACACGUGGAUAACCUACCUAUAAGACUGGGAUAACUUCGGGAAACCGGAGCUAAUACCGGAUAACAUAUUGAACCGCAUGGUUCAAUAGUGAAAGGCGGCUUUGCUGUCACUUAUAGAUGGAUCCGCGCCGUAUUAGCUAGUUGGUAAGGUAACGGCUUACCAAGGCAACGAUACGUAGCCGACCUGAGAGGGGGAUCGGCCACACUGGAACGGAGACACGGUCCAGAAUCCUAAGGGAGGCAGCAGUAGGGAAUCUUCCGCAAUGGGCGAAAGCCUGACGGAGCAACGAAGCGUGAGUGAUGAAGGUCUUCGGAUCGUAAAACUCUGUUAGGAGGGAAGAACAAAUGUGUAAGUAACUGUGCACAUCGUGACGGUACCUGAUCAGAAAGCCACGGCUAACUACGUG